CACCACGCAGGAAAACAUGGAAAAUGAGGAGCUGAUUAUGCAGUGAUCUCCCCAGGCAGUGAGGGCAUGUCCUCCUCCACUUGGUGAGGGUGAGUCCUCCCCGACCUGGUGAGGGUGAGUCCUCCCCCACCUGGUGAGGACUAAAGACUGAAGUCGGAGGAAUACAUAGUAAAUAAGCAAGCAGAAUGGGACCCAUUGCAAAAAGCACAUCUGUCCACGAUCAUCACACAGAAGUGCAUUGUGUGGGUUCAGAGGGACUCAGCAGCAGCUGAAGGGGAUGCUCUGUCUUUGAGAGAAAGAGAUGAAUGAAUAGAGAAGCCAAUGUGCUGUGAGAAACAUCAAAAUCUGGAUGUUAGCCGUAAGCCACAUCCUAGAGAAACAUACUGUGUGCUCUCUAGGUGGGGUCACCCGCAUUCUACCGUGAAAAGAGCCUUGUUUCCCCUUCAGACGUCUUAUUCUGCUUUCCACCAACAGUAAAACCCAAUGCCAGAGCUGGGCAGAUGUAUAUGUGGACUUGCUGAUGUCACCUUGCUGUGUUGUGUACUGGGAGGAACAGAGUAGUAAGGCUUCUGUCACAUGGACUUUUACCAGAAAACUGAAUACAAGACCCCGUGCACACUCACAAGGCUCUCUACUACUGAGAUAUAUUGUAAGCAACAAUUUAUCUUCUGAAAGCAGCACACUACACACACACAAAAGCCUUCCAAUUAUAAAACAGAGAAAGAAAAGGAGAAAAGCAAAGUACAUACAUGUUAAAGCUGACAAGUGGCUGUUCAUCGAGAGAAUGAAUGGAAAACGUAUCCAGCAGAGUCCCCAUAUCUAAGAGACACCCUGAAAAUAGUAAUGGAAGACAGAAAUGACAAGCUUCAUCCAUCUCCUGUAGUGUCACCAUGUCCUGUAGUGUCAUCAUGGAGAUGGCUGCAACAAUCUUGGAUGCCAGGAAAAAAAAAUGUUGGGGGAAGAAUUAGACUGUUGGUUCUAAUGAAAUCUAUCUUAGGAAACCUGAGGCAUCUCAAGUAUCCAGAAGGGAUCGCUCUGAGUCACCCGUGUCUCAGCAGAACUGUGACUCACUGCAGCUUAAGGAAGGACUGACCAUAACUUGGACAUAUUUGAACAAUUUUCAAAACUAUAUAUAUAUAUUAUUCUAGUUGUAAUUGCUAUGGGAAUUUACUUUAGUAUUUUAGGUUGAUAGCUAUAAGAUUCUGGGAGAGAAUCAAUUAUGAUAAAACAGAUUUAUUUAUUUUAAGGAAUUAAUUGGUUUUCUUGGUUAGAAUUUGUUGUCUUUUGUCCUUACUUAUCCAUAGGAGGAAUAAGCUUUCCGACUGUGGGAAAGACUGAGUUUCUACCCAAGAUGGGCCUUUUAAGUCUUUGGUAAUAGCUAACAAAGGGCAAGGAAGAUCCCUUGAAGAUGCUACUCAUGACCUCUUGACCCUAGGCAUAUUUCACAAUCUCUUGUGAGAUACUAAUUCAUUUGGAUUGUAACCAUAAAAAACAGGCAUGUGUUUUUAAAUCAUACAAUACUUAAGUUAUAUAAAGCCAUACCUCAUAGGAGAAAUAAAGUAAUAUAAAUCUUAAAAGACUAUUUGGUAUUAAUGUACUACAUUUCUUCAACUGGAAUAUCAUGUUCCCUACAGUCCCAGAUAUUAAAGGCUUGGUCCUUGAUAUGGAAUCAUUGAUACAUAGAAGACCUUAUAAAAAGUGGAACUAGUGGAAAGUGUAUGAUUCACUGGGGGAGUACCUUUAACAGGAAUAGUGGGCUAUUUCUCUUUCUGUUACAGGUUGUGAACCAAAGGAGUUUUGCUCUGCUUCAUGCAACCACCACACUGUACUUCCUCACUGUUGACCCAAGAGCAUUGAGGCCAACAAAUCAUGAAUCAAGACCUCCAAGCCUGAGCCAGAACAAUCCAGCCUCCCCUCCUUACACAUUCCUUAUCUCAAAUAUUUGUUGUAACAAUAGGAAGACAACUACUACAUAGGAGUUCUGGAAGAGUUAACCAUCACUAGUGUAUUCAUUAGACAUACAUGCACAUGUACACACAUGCAUCUAUCUGCACACAUACACAUAUUCAUACACACACACAUGCAUCUGCAGAAUACACAUACACAUGCAUACACACACAGAUGCAUGCACACUCACAUGCAUCUGUGCACACACACACACAGGUACACACAUAUGCACGUGCAUGCACACAGACAGAUACACAUAUGUACAUUACUAGCCACCCGAAAAUGCUUCCUUGGGGUUUUAAUCAUUUAAUGACCUUGAAAGUCUGUUUGAAAUAGUUCUUGGCUAUUUAUUUCGGGUGUCUCCAAACAACUACUGUGUCCCCCAUGGUCGUUAAUAUUCUUCCCCAAAGGCUGCAUCUGUCAGAAAUGGUGAAAUGUGAUCCAGCAUAAAUAGGAUGAGGUAUUUCCAUUGGUUCCUGUGGUCUACCACAGCUCGCUUAAAGCUCCCAAGGGGAGACAGAGGUCCUGUUCAUCACACAUGGAAACUUUCUAGACUGUAAGUGUCAAACCAGGAGCAGAGAUGCCUGCGGGUUUCAAAGGAAAACUAAAUAAACAUCUGAUUCUUUUAUCUUCUUUUCUUUUCUAGCACACAUUCAUUCUACCAUAUCCUCAUUUAAAUUUCACUCUCUCACCUUUGUUUGAACUAAAGCUUGUGUUCACUUUGAGCCAAUAAAAACUACAAGAAGGAAACAUCUGCACGGCUGUGUAACCAAUCCUACAAUUAUCAGCAACGUGACAAUCUUAUUAAAGAUCACACAGGACAUUUGCAGAAUUUGUUUUCAAGACACAAUGAGCAAUGCACUACCACUAAUUUACAUAUAUAUAUGAACAUAAUAAAUUUGAACCUAAUUUAUAUUUAUUUUAACUUAUAUUUUACAUUUUAAAUAUAUAUUAUUCCAUGAAAUUUGAUCUAGGAAACAAAUAAAAAAGAUAGACAUGCCAUCUAGAUUAAAUUUAAAACAAUUGAUAACUAAUAGAAUUGACCCAGGGUCCCAGCAAAUGCCUUACACAAAUUAUUGCAUUAGAAAAUACUGUUGAGUCCUAAAGUGUGAGCUGUUUGGGAAACUCCUAUUACCUUGUCAAUAGGAAUUUUCAAUGAUAUGCAAGAUUUCUGGAAAAGUAAUUCCAGAAACAAAGUUUUCAUGUUUUGAAGAGAAAUUCUAUUUCGAAGAAUACAAUUUAGGUAAAGAAUUAGAUCUUUGCACAAUGAUUCAGCUACAAAAAGUUCUUAGGAAUUGUGAUUAAAUAAAUUGCCCAAAUGGCUGUUCUUAGUCAGUGUACAGAGACUGAAACACCUUUCACUUUGUGACUUGUAGGCAUUCUCUCGUGGUCUUCUGGGGGCUGGAGAGAUGUCUCAGCAGUUAAGAGCACUAGCUACUCUUUCAGAGGACUGAGGUUCAGUUCCCAGCACUGGUGAUGAAAAAGGACUGUCUGCAAUGCCAGUCCAGGGGUUCUGAUGUCCUCUUCUGACUUCCUUGGGUACUGGGCACAUGUGUUAUACGGACAUAUGAGCAUAAAAACACCCGUAAACAUAAAAUAAAAACAAAUCAUUAAAAAAAAAAAGUUCUGACCGACGUGAGAGAAGUCAGGCACUAAGUACAGAGAUUACAUCUGCUCAUGUUUCCUUAGCUAGACAACCAUAGGCCCCAUAACAGCUGAGAAAUGCACUUCAUCUUUGUUCUUAGACAACAGAAGAGACAGAGUUUGGUGAGCAUAUCACAGUCUGUCUAUCAAACGAUGAUCAUUGAUAUAUUUCAAACUAACUUUCAAUAAAUCUGCCCAGCAGAAGACUGAGGAGUUAUGAAGCCAAACAAGCAAACAAACAAAAGGAUAGUUGAAUAAAUAAAAAGAUGUUCUGGGCACACUGAGGGAAAGCUGUCAUUGAAAGCCAUGGUCUGGGCCCACAUUUCUAGUUGCUAAAUGACCAUGACUUAUGAAAAUAUAAAAUGCUGUCAUCUCUCAGCUGUCACACUUCCUGGUUUCCCAAAAUUCCCUUUGUAUUUUCCCUCUUGUUUGCUUAAUAAGGGAAGCAUGAUAGGAAGAAAAAGUUAUGCUAUGGAAUAGGAUAGGUUCCAUUUAUCAGCCAGAUUAAUUUCCUUUUAUUUUAAAAAAAAAUGUGGGAUUGCCCUACUUUUUAUUUUACUAAAUAGAUCAGUUGAAAUAACUUAUGAAAUAGACUCUGAAGCAUAUGUGAUGUAGAGAAUGGGCUCUAACAAGCACAAGUGGUACAGGGACACCAAUUGUUUUUUUAAUGGCAUCGCAUAGCACAAUGGAUUAUUCCAGUGGGCAUUACUUUGCUGGAAGCAGACUCAGCUGGGUUCCAGUUUAUACCAGUGCUUCUCAGCCUACAACACUUCACUGUUUCUUCUGGGUUUCUUGUAAAAUCCUGCAUCUUCUCAGAAACUUCCCAAAGUAUAUAUUAUGAGCAAGGGAUAUUUAUUCCAAAUUUCUAAAUAAAUAUUUAACUUUAACUUUAAUUAUAUUUGACAUUGGGCAGUGUUUCCUUUCCUGGUUAAACACCAGGAGCUGCGUUUAAAACUAAGAAAGUACAUUUUGUCGGACACAGUGGCUGCUUCCCAUCCAGGCAUCUUGUCUUCUGCAUCUCAUCACUGACAGAGUCUGCCUCGUGCUGUAUGCCCUGAAAAUGUCAGUCUCUGCUUGUUUGAGUAGACCUUACAGCUGUAGUGCAGACACAGGGUCUAGAGGGUGACCAGAGGAGAAACCUGGAGAGCAGGUCUCAGAAAGGUCUUUCUCCUCACUGUGAGUUAGCUGUGGUCUCAGGACCCUAAGCAUCCUGUAUCCAAGCCUUAGGGUUUUGUGGUUUCUUUUAUUUAGAGAUGGCAUCUAUUUUUCUGCCUCCUGAGUCUAGGCUGAUUUCCUGAUCUAACCUGAACAAUAGAGUAUAGCAGAAGUGGUAGUGUUCUGUGUUGAAGCCUUGACACAAGAAACCUUGAGCUGCGAAGAUUACAGAGUGAGUGAUGGAGAAGGGAGCUUGCCAGGCCCUGUCCCCACACAAACCAUCCAUUUAACUGGUGAAAAAAUUAAUAGGAAAAUGAAAUUAAAAACUAGGUAAAGUUACCUCUUAUUGACCUAAAAGCAUAUGUCAAGUGGAAAAUCUACUAAAUCAGUACAAAUACUAAGACGCUUGUGUCCUGCUGUGAUACUUUGGAACACUUGCAGAAACACUGUUCCUCUAAGGUAGAAACAUCUUCAAGGACCACUAUAACUUAAUUGUAUUGCGGGAUUGAGUAACCCCGCAAUUAGAACUAUCUAGUUCCUGAUUUCUUGUUGCAUCUUGAUGAAUAUUUGGCUCAAUGAUUCAUGACUGACAUAUUUCACUUUUGCACACUCUAACAUUUUUAUGAUUCUCUGUAUAAACUGAUCCAUAACAAACAAACAAAGAAACCAUGUAGUAUAACGAUUUCUCCUGCUGUAUUUUUUCUAGAGGGUUGCCUUUACCCACCUGCUUCUUCACCCUAUCAUCAUUUCUCUGUCCAGUCACCCUCUGUUUACAUGUUUUUGCCACUAUUAUGUAUGAUACAUCCUGAUUCAUUAUAAUGAAUAAAUAUGUUAUAAUAUUUAUAUAA
rnacentral:lncRNA from 1 species